UUAGUGAGACUGAUGCUGUUAGAGGCACUGAAUCAUUUGCUUUCCUGCUCAUAGUGGUCUCAACAUAUAAAUCAAUAAUUACAUUUCUUCACUCAAGGAAGCAGAAGAAAUAUCUGAAGCUGCUGAAAAUGUGCUCAGUACAGCAACUGUUGAGUGAAGGAGCAAGAACUGUGUAUGAGAGGUGCCCAGAGCAGCAGCUGGGCUGGGACUAAUGCAGGCCAUGUGCUGCUCUCUGCUCUGCCCGUUCAUGAAAGGUUUCAUAAGGUCAGCCCUUUGGGGCUGCAGAGUUAAAUUCCAGUCUGUCAACUCCAUAGAGCCUAUGAGUCAAAAGAUGUGGAAUUAGUCUGUCUUCAGAAUCACCUUUUCAUGGAUACUCUGGA
rnacentral:lncRNA from 12 species